CCAACCUGAUUUGAAAUCAAGCUAGAGUUUUCCAACCUAAAUUGACUUGAGGAUCCGAGAAACUAAUCCAACCCGACCUAACCCAAACAUGGUCAAUUGGGUUCAGUUUGUUGAACCCAAGUUACAGCUCUACGUUUGCAACUUAUAUCCUCGUCCAAGAUAAGUUUGUCCAAAAAAAUUUCUCUACAUCGCAUCCCUCAUUGUGACCAUUCUCUAGCAAAUGCAACCCAACAAUUCAUAGACAACAUUUCAACUAAGAGCUCGUUCAAAAUUUAGAAACAAAUCGAUGCAGUAACACUCAACAGAUUUACAUGGUUCGUCAUUAUCCCUUCUCCAUAGAUUAG